CACGGGGGUUGCGAGCGUUGUCCGGAAUUACUAGGCGUAAAGGGCAGGCAGGCGGAUCCAUAAGUUUAUCGUUUAAGGCGUCGGCUUAACCGGCGUAGGGCGGUAGAUACUGUGGAUCUGGAAUGCGGUUGGGGAAGACAGAAUUCCUGGUGUAGCGGUGGAAUGCGCAUAGAUCAGGAGGAAUACCGAAGGCGAAGGCAGUCUUCCAAGCCGUUAUUGACGCUCAACUGCGAAGGUGUGGGUAUCAAACAGGAUUAGAUACCCGCGUAGUCCCUGAG
rnacentral:rRNA from 1 species